rnacentral:rRNA from 1 species
CUCAAGGGCGGUGAUCACAGAUUGCAAAAGGGGAACAUUGGGGAGGAGAAGGUGCAAUGGUACUAUGCUAUGCUAUCUCUUGUGCUAGGCGCCAAUAUGCCACUCUCAGUGCGCAUCGCGCGCCUGUGUGCAGAACUUGGCAAGGCGCAUUGCUAUCCUCAACCCAACGCUUCCUCUCUUGCCCUCUGUGGUCGCGAAGCAAGACCGUUCCGUAGGUGAACCUGCGGAAGGAUCAUUA